rnacentral:rRNA from 12 species
GAGUACGGCCAUACUACCGGGAAUACACCUGAACCCGUUCGAUUUCAGAAGUUAAGCCGGGUUAGGCCCAGUUAGUACUGAGUGGGCGACCACUUGGGAACACUGGGUGCUGUACGCU